rnacentral:ncRNA from 1 species
AUUGUUCUCUGCAACUCGGGAACAUGAAGUUGAAAUCGCUAGUAAUCGCGGAUCAGCAUGCCGUGGUGAAUAUGUACCCGGGCCCUGUACACACCGCCCAUCACACCCUGGGAAUUGGUUUCGCCUGAAGCAUCGGACCAAUGAUCACCCAUGACUUCUGUGUACCACUAGUGCCACAAAGGCCUUUGGUGGUCUUAUUGGCGCAUACCACGGUGGGGUCUUCGACUGGGGUGAAGUCGUAACAAGGUAGCCGUAGGGGAACCUGUGGCUGGAUUGAAUCCUUC